CUCCUGUUACGUAUACUGAAGGUAUACCGGACAGAAAACACUCAGGAUACAUUCAGUAUACGUACAGGGG
rfam:Tribolium castaneum strain Georgia GA2 linkage group LG2, whole genome shotgun sequence.